CCAACAGUCUUUUUCAAGACUACCAACAGUACUUUUAUGGACUAC
rfam:Strongylocentrotus purpuratus Contig129320_fixed, whole genome shotgun sequence.